UAGUAUGGCCUUGCAAAGUUAUUUUUUGAAGUGCAAACAAAGAGACAUGUGUCCCCGCGAAAGUCCAGAUGGCACUUACAAUAUUAAGAUUCGUGGUAUAUAGCAGAAACUGGAUUGAUUACAGGGUGCCAAUGCCAAAAUACCGCAAAUGGUAAUAUUGUAAAUGCCAUCUGAACCUUUGCGGGGACAUCUGUCUCUUUGCUUGCACUUCAAAAGAUUGCUCUGCCAAAUCUUUUGAGAGGAUAGCAAAGAAUUUAGUUUGUUCUUCAAGGCACUGCACUGAUUUUUGGUAUCCGAGUUUUCCGUUUUUUACUGACCGUCUGUAAAGUAAAGCAAAAACGACACAAGCAGCACGAAAAUAAAGAAUUUAAUUUCCUAGCACA